CUUGGGUUCAAAUCUGGCCUCAGACACUUAUUAGCUGUGUGACCUUGGAUAAGUCACUUAACCCCCAUUGCCUAGUCCUUAUUGAUUCUAAGACAGAAGGUAAGGGAAAAAAGAAAGAAAGAAAGAGAGAGAGAGAGAGAGAGAGAGAGAGAGAGAGAGAGAGAGAGAGAGAGAGAGAGAGAGAGAGAGAGAGAGAGAGAAAGAAAGAAAGAAAGAAAGAAAGAAAGAAAGAAAGAAAGAAAGAAAGAAAGAAAGAAAGAAAGAAAGAAAGAAAGAAAGAAAGAAAGAAAGAAAGAAAGAAAGAAAGAAAGAAAGAAAGAAAGAAAGAAAGAAAGAAAGAAAGAGAGAAAGAGAGAAAGAGAGAAAGAGAGAAAGGAAGAGAGAAAGGAAGAGAGAGAGAAAGAGAGAGAGAAAGAGAGAGAGAAAGAAGGAGAGAAAGGAAGAGAGAAAGGAAGAGAGAAAGGAAAGAGAGAGAGAGAGAGAGAGGAGAGGAGAGAGAGAGAGGAGAGGAG
rnacentral:lncRNA from 1 species